GUAGCGAAAGCGAGUCUGAAUAGGGCGCUUAGUCAGAUGCUGCAGACCCGAAACGAAGUGAUCUAUCCAUGAGCAAGUUGAAGCUAGUGUAAGAACUAGUGGAGGACUGAACCCAUAGGCGUUGAAAAGCCCCGGGAUGACUUGUGGAUAGGGGUGAAAGGCCAAUCAAACUUCGUGAUAGCUGGUUCUCUCCGAAAUAUAUUUAGGUAUAGCGUUGUGUCGUAAUAUAAGGGGGUAGAGCACUGAAUGGGCUAGGGCAUACACCAAUGUACCAAACCCUAUCAAACUCCGAAUACCUUAUAUGUAAUCACAGCAGUCAGGCGGCGAGUGAUAAAAUCCGUCGUCAAGAGGGAAACAACCCAGACUACCAGCUAAGGUCCCUAAAUCUUACUUAAGUGGAAAACGAUGUGAAGUUACUUAAACAACCAGGAGGUUGGCUUAGAAGCAGCCAUCCUUUAAAGAAAGCGUAAUAGCUCACUGGUCUAGUGAUUUUGCGCGGAAAAUAUAACGGGGCUAAAGUAAGUACCGAAGCUGUAGACUUGCACACAA
rnacentral:rRNA from 1 species